rnacentral:piRNA from 1 species
UGUGUGAUGCAUACGACGGUGUCU